rnacentral:rRNA from 1 species
UUAAGUCCCGCAACGAGCGCAACCCUCGCCGUCUAGUUGCCAGCAUUCGGUUGGGCACUCUAGAGGGACUGCCGGCGACAAGUCGGAGGAAGGUGGGGAUGACGUCAAAUCAUCAUGCCCCUUAUGACCUGGGCUACACACGUGCUACAAUGGCGGUACAAAGGGCUGCGAACCCGCGAGGGGGAGCGAAUCCCAAAAAGCCGCUCUCAGUUCGGAUUGCAGGCUGCAACUCGCCUGCAUGAAGCCGGAAUCGCUAGUAAUCGCGGAUCAGCAUGCCGCGGUGAAUACGUUCCCGGGCCUU